CGAUAGCCGAUGGACAGAUGGACAAACAGAAGAUGAACCAUAACGGAUGGCCACCAGGAUCAAGGGGAGACUUUUCGAUACCCUUUUCUACGUACAUAUGCCAAUAGCUAAGCAAUAGAUAUAGAAAAUAUAUAAAUCAAAUCUGAAGUAGAAGCAGAACGGAACGUAUCUCAAAUAAUACAAAGCAAAAAAAAAAAAGGAAAGAAAAGGGAAAAAGUCGGUCUAGAAUGGGCGAGAGAGAGUUGGAAGAUUACGAUGCAGUGAUGUGGGAAGACCGGCGGGACUUUCGGGAGAUAUUGUUGCAAUUUAAUAAUGCGUUCAAACACUUAAAUAGAACUAUGCUAAAAUUUUUUUUCUUCAUCUUUAUUGGCAUACUCAUUGGCAAAUAUGUAUUAUAGAUUAAACAAAUUUAAAAUCAUUUAAAUAAAUGUAUAUGCCGUCUCUA